rnacentral:rRNA from 1 species
UACGGAGGGUGCAAGCGUUAUCCGGAUUCACUGGGUUUAAAGGGAGCGUAGGUGGGUUGCCAAGUCCGAGGUGAAAUCUCCGAGCUUAACUCGGAAACUGCCUUGGAUACUGGUAGUCUUGAAUAUUGUGGAGGUUAGCGGAAUAUGUCAUGUAGCGGUGAAAUGCUUAGAUAUGACAUAGAACACCAAUUGCGAAGGCAGCUGGCUACACAUAUAUUGACACUGAGGCUCGAAAGCGUGGGGAUCAAAC